GUGGGGAAUCUUCCGCAAUGGACGAAAGUCUGACGGAGCAACGCCGCGUGAGUGAUGACGGCCUUCGGGUUGUAAAGCUCUGUUAAUCGGGACGAAUGGUUCUUGUGCGAAUAGUGCGAGGAUUUGACGGUACCGGAAUAGAAAGCCACGGCUAACUACGUGCCAGCAGCCGCGGUAAUACGUAGGUGGCAAGCGUUGUCCGGAAUUAUUGGGCGUAAAGCGCGCGCAGGCGGAUCAGUUAGUCUGUCUUAAAAGUUCGGGGCUUAACCCCGUGAUGGGAUGGAAACUGCUGAUCUAGAGUAUCGGAGAGGAAAGUGGAAUUCCUAGUGUAGCGGUGAAAUGCGUAGAUAUUAGGAAGAACACCAGUGGCGAAGGCGACUUUCUGGACGAAAACUGACGCUGAGGCGCGAAAGCCAGGGGAGCGAACGGGA
rnacentral:rRNA from 1 species